AGCUUUGCGCAGUGGCAGUAUCGUAGCCAAUGAGGCUUACCCGAGGCGCGAUUAUUGCUAAUUGAAAACUUUUCCUAAAAUAGUUUUCAAUUUUAAUUUAGUUAUUACUUGUUAUUUUAACUUGUAAUUCUGGAGAGGAAUCUUAACU